GGGGAUGUGGCUCAGUUGGUAGAGCGCUCGCUUAGCAAAACACCUUGCGAAAGGUCCUGGGUUCGAGUACGUCUUGA